AGAGGCGCUUCCUGGAUGUUAACAGACCCCAGGUUGCCGGGGUCUGUCGCUGGAUAUCUUUAUGCUCUGCAUGAGUACAUCCAGUGUCAGUGAAAUCCCCAUAGGAAAGCAUUGCCUCAUAGGAAUGCUUGCUGUGCAUGCACAUUAGUCCGUCAUGUUGGAGGAGGCAGAGCACUGACCCAGUGCUGAAGGACAUUGGAGCUGGAACCGAAUAAGUGUAAAAAGGGUUUUUUGAAGACUUUACGUGCUUGAGGAAUGGGGAGGCCUGAUGGCACUAUAGUGGUAGGAAUACAAAUCUGUAUUCCUAACUCUUUAAAAUCCCUUUUUAAAAAGUGAAUUCACUGGUUCUAGUGAGAGGCACCAAUAGUUUUACGGGUUUUAAUAAUUGCCCAAGAUUUUGGCCUGAAAACCUUAAGCAGACCUUUCCCCAGUAAUGCAGAUCUACUUGGUUGCUGGGCAACUGCUUUGCAAUCCUACUACUAGUAUGUGACGUGCUACAUCAGCCCAGUCAGUCAGUAUUGACCUACAAGGAAAAGAUCAUGCAGAGAAAGAAUGCAGACUUAGUCAUGCUUGUCACUAAGAAGAGG